AUUGAACGCUAGCGGGAUGCUUUACACAUGCAAGUCGAACGGAGUGGCGGACGGGUGAGAAAUAUAUAGGAACGUGCCCAGUAGCGGGGGAAAACUACGCGAAAGAGGGGAUAAAACCGAAUUCUAUUGGAGCGGCCGAUAUCGGAUUAGCUGGUUGGUGGGGGAAAGGGUCACCAAGGCAACGAUCCGUAGCUGGUUUGAGAGGACGACCAGCCACACGGUGACUGAGAUACGGCCCAGACUCCUACGGUAGUCAGCAGUGGGGAAUUUUGGACAAUGGGGGAAACCCUGAUCCAGCCAUCCCGCGUGUAUGAUGAAGGCCUUCGGGUUGUAAAGUACUUUUGGCAGAGACGCGGUAUCUGCAGAAUAAGCACCGGCUAACUACGUGCCAGCAGCCGCGGUAAUAC
rnacentral:rRNA from 1 species